rnacentral:rRNA from 1 species
ACUCCUACGGGAGGCAGCAGUGGGAAUAUUGGACAAUGGGCGCAAGCCUGAUCCAGCAAUACCGCGUGAGGGAUGAAGGUCCUCGGAUCGUAAACCUCUGUCAGUUGGAACGAUGGGUCUAAAGGUUAAUACCCUUUAGACUUGACGGUACCUUCAAAGGAAGCCCCGGCUAACUCCGUGCCAGCAGCCGCGGUAAUACGGAGGGGGCAA